UGUAAGCAAAGCAAAAUACAAAUUUCAAACCGCAAAAAGCAAUACAAAUUUUUGUGUACUCUGAUUUUUCGGUGGGUUGGGUGUCUUUUACCCUCUUUAUCCUCAAGAAGACAAAUUUCAAACUGCAAGAAGCAAUACAAAUUUGCAUAUUUUUCCAAACUACACUAAUAUCCAACCACUACACUCCAUCUAACAUUCAAAACUUUCACAAACUUUUCUGUACUCUGAUUUAUGGCAUCUUUGUUGGCAUAUAUAUAUACAUAUACACAAUAACAAAACCAUCUCUUUCACCUUUAAUUUUUCAUUUUCAAUGGCUAUAAUUCAUGGCCCUAACUGUUAAGCUAACCUAGAGAUUAGCCUACAGAGAUAAAACACUACUUUAAGUUUUAUUUUUUCAUUUUCAAUCUCCUCCUGUAGAGAUAAAACACUACUUUGAGCAGUUCGAUGAUGAAAGGAAGAGAAGGACUACAGUGUUUGGUUUUAUGAGCCAUUUGCCUGCUGGAAAUGCUACUGAGUUAUGGUUGAGUAGUGACGGGUUUGCUCUUACUUGAAAAAAGGAAAAAAAAAGAAUACAAAAUUAAUUUUGCUCUUACUUGAAAGAGAUUGACGGGUGGACCGAUGGUGACUACCUGACUGGUGAACAAUGAUGGUGGACCGGUGGUGACUGCCUGACUGAUGAAUGACGAUGGUGGUGGCCGAGCACUUGGGAGCAAAAGGAGCAAAGAACGAGCGAAAAUCGAAAAAUCGGAGCAAUCUACUAGAGCCACACAACCGUGUGACCUAAACAGGCUACCACAUGGUCAUGUCGUAGGUUGUGUCGCACGUCGUGUCUAUUUCAUGGAAUGGCGCACUAAACAGCGGAAAACACAUUUUUUAGGUUUUUUGGGCAUUCUAAGACGUAUAUAUGACAAAAAUAAGAAGAUAGGAGAGUGUUGUCAUAGAAUAUUCAAGAAAACAACUCGAAAAAAACCAUUGAAGCUAAUUCUGAAGCAGGUUUCCGUCAAGAUUGAAGAUUCCCAGUUGAUUUCUUAACAGAUUAUCACGAGUUUCUUUAUUUUUUUCGGUUAUGCUGUAUCUUAGAUGUAUUUAUUUUCAAGCAUGAACUAAUUUCUAAAUACCUAAGGAGAUGAAUCCUAUGAUGGAUUCUGUCAUUUGAUUUUUAUUUUACGCAAUAAACUUAGUUCCUUGUUCUCAA